CAGCACAAUAGGCCAUUCUGGACCCGCCGCGCUGCUCCAGAGUGGACACGGCGGUUCUGCAGCAGCUUCUACUUCUUCCUCUACAGUCUUCUUAUCUUUUCCUCUUUUCUCUCCUUCCCUUUAUCUUCUCGUUCCUUUCCUCCUUUCUUGUUUCCGUGGUCCUCUUUAUAGUUCCUAGUAUCUUCUUGCUUUCCAUCUUCUCUGUGCUUUGGCCGUUUUCCUCUCUGUACUUUUCAAAGUUGUCAUAUUCUGUGUUUUUACUGCUAACAUCGUCAUCUGGGUAGGAAAAAACAAUCUUAAACCAAAUUCCAGAACUGAGAAAUCAGUAGGGUGCAGGAACAGAAAGACCCUUGGCCUCUGUCAGAGACUUUAAUUCCAGAUUUUUUAAGGUCUCAGCACUGUGGAUCUCAUUUAUUCACAGUCACUUUUACAGCCACGUUUUGCUUCUGACUGCAUUCUGGGCACUAGAGCUGCUCUCAGUGUUAUUAAAAGCAGGUUUUUAAGUGGAUGGUACAGAAGAGUGAAAUAAGGCUCCUUCACUGUUACUGAGGCUUUGCUGACAUUGCUUACUUUGAUUUAUACCAGCUCAAGAUUAAACCUUCACUACCAAAAAAAUAAAUGAAGCCACCAAUUACAACUACACUAUGGCUUUACAUAUAAAUUAAUUCCUGUUACUCUGUGCUAGGACAGAGGAUGCAAUAUGGGCCAGAAAUUUAGAUGCUUGCUACCUGAGACUGGGGUGCUAUGUUCCCAUGCCCUGGGCUGUGCUCCAGAAGAGGAAAGCAAAUAAUUUUUAUCUUUAUGGGGUGCAGAGAGCUAAAUGAUGACUACCUUUUAGAGAGCUAACUGUCAGUUCAUCUUUUCUUUCCUUCAGCUCUUUGAUGAAGCUUUUGUUCACAUCAUUUAAGGCCUCAGGAGGCCUGAGCCCUGGACAUCCAUGAGGUAUCACUGAAUAGUUUCUAUUUCGAUUACAGAGAAUUGAUUUACCUGCUGCUGUGGAUGGGCACAAUCUUGGAAAGGACCACGGCCAGAACAGCUGACCCAGACUGACCAAGGACAUAUUCCAUACCAUAUGACAUCAGCUCAGUAAUAUAAACUGGGGGAGAGGAGCAGGAAGAGGAGGCAAGAUUCAUUUCUGGCCUUCCAAAAGCAACCGUUACGUGUACCGAAGGUGGCCGGACAUCGCUGCUGAUGGGAAGUAGAGAGUAACAUCUUUAUUUGCUUUUGCUUCACUUCUCACACGUAUGGCUUUGCUGCUUCUUUAUUAAACUGCUUUUAUCUCAGUCCACAA